rnacentral:rRNA from 1 species
GAUAAACGCUGGCGGCGUGCAUAACACAUGCAAGUCGAACGAAGUGGCGAACGGGUGAGUAACACGUGAGUAACCUGCCUUACACAAGGGGAUAGCCUUUGGAAACGAAGAAUAAUACCCUAUAGUGUAAGAUGGACUUGCGUCUGAUUAGCUAGUUGUGGAGAUAAAAGGUCACCAAGGCGACGAUCAGUAGCCGGCUGGAGAGAGUGUACGGCCACAUUGGGACUGAGACAAGGCCCCAACUCUACGGGAGGCAGCAGUGGGGAAUUUUGCACAAUGCGGGAAACCCUGAUGCAGCGACGCCGCGUGAUUUAGAAGGCCUUCGGGUUGUAAAAAUCUUUUUUACGGGAUGCAGUACCGGAAGAAUAAGGUCCGGCUAAAUACGUGCCAGCAGCCGCGGUAAUUC